rnacentral:rRNA from 1 species
GAGUUUGAUCCUGGCUCAGGAUGAACGCUGGCGGCGUGCCUAACACAUGCAAGUCGAACGAAGCACCUUACCUGAUUCUUCGGAUGAAGGCCUGGUGACUGAGUGGCGGACGGGUGAGUAACGCGUGGGUAACCUGCCCUGUACAGGGGGAUAACAGUUGGAAACGGCUGCUAAUACCGCAUAAGCGCACGAGAGGACAUCCUCUUGUGUGAAAAACUCCGGUGGUACAGGAUGGGCCCGCGUCUGAUUAGGUAGUUGGUGGGGUAACGGCCCACCAAAGCGACGAUCAGUAGCCGGCCUGAGAGGGUGAACGGCCACAUUGGGACUGAGACACGGCCCAAACUCCUACGGGAGGCAGCAGUGGGGAAUAUUGCACAAUGGGGGAAACCCUGAUGCAGCGACGCCGCGUGAGUGAAGAAGUAUUUCGGUAUGUAAAGCUCUAUCAGCAGGGAAGAAAAUGACGGUACCUGACUAAGAAGCCCCGGCUAACCACGUGCCAGCCGCCGCGGUAAUUC